rnacentral:rRNA from 1 species
GAUGAACGCUAGCUACAGGCUUAACACAUGCAAGUCGAGGGGUAACGAGAGGAAAGCUUGCUUUCCUUGUCGACGACCGGCGCACGGGCGAGUAACGCGUAUCCAACCUGCCCCCAACUAGGGAAUAACCUUGCGAAAGUAAGACUAAUACCCUAUAAUUUCCUCAGAUGUCAUCUGACGAGGAAUAAAGAUUUAUCGGUUGUGGAUGGGGAUGCGUCUGAUUAGCUUGUUGGCGGGGUAACGGCCCACCAAGGCAACGAUCAGUAGGGGUUCUGAGAGGAAGGUCCCCCACAUUGGAACUGGGACACCGUCCAAACUCCUACGGGAGGCAGCAGUGAGGAAUAUUGGUCAAUGGGCGGAAGCCUGAACCAGCCAAGUAGCGUGCAGGAUGACGGCCCUAUGGGUUGUAAACUGCUUUUAUACAGGAAUAAAGUUAGCCACGUGUGGUUAUUUGUAGGUACUGUAUGAAUAAGGACCGGCUAAUUCCGUGCCAGCCGCCGCGGUAA